UGCUAUGAUGAUGCUCAGCUACCACUUA
rnacentral:piRNA from 1 species